UACUCGUUCUUCUUCCAUUACGAGUCAAUCAUUCGUUAUUUUUCUUACGUUUAACCUAUUGAACGGACUCACCGUACUGUCGAAUUCGCCAAGUUGUUGGCUAAUCGGUGCCAUAAUAAUGUACGAAGAUUAUCGAAUCUACAAACUUUCAUUCCUACUGCAGACGUAAAUUAAGGAAUUAAUUUUAAUGACUAGUCAAUCAUAGACAAGGAGCCAUAACUAACCUUCAAAAGCAUGCAUCAAAAAUGAUGAAGUAUAUUCUAAUACUUGAACUGUUGACAGAACUUCAAUUAGGAACUACAGUAAGAUUACCCAUACCUGACGUGGAUGUAGAGCACGUGGCUCACCCCUUAAUCUUUUGGCGGUCUUUGUUGCAUAUGAAGCUGAUAUUAUGUAUAAAUUAUGUACGGAGUGUGGGUAUGAUAAAAAAUAGGUUCACUAGAUCACAACUGGUUCCGUGUCCUGAAAAUAUAUUGAACUAUGAAAAGACAAUCGCGACUGCCGGAGUAAAAGAAAUUAUAUGGUUCGUGAGGCUGCUGGAUAUGGAAUCGCGG